rnacentral:rRNA from 1 species
GACGAACGCUGGCGGCGUGCUUAACACAUGCAAGUCGAACGGUAAGGCUCCAGCUUGCUGGGGUACACGAGUGGCGAACGGGUGAGUAACACGUGGGUGACCUGCCCUGCACUUCCGGAUAAGCCUGGGAAACUGGGUCUAAUACCGGAUAGGACCGCACCCCGCUGGUGCGGCGGAAGGUUUUUUCGGCGGGGUAUGGGGACGCGGCCUAUCAGCUUGUUGGUGGGGUAAUGGUCUACCAAGACGGCGACGGGUACCCGGCCUGCGAGGGUAGUCGGGCACAUUGGAACAGAGACACGACCCGGACUCCUAUGGGAAGAGGCAGUGCGGUGUAUUGGCGUAUGCUGGGAAGCCUGGUGCAGCGCCGCCGUGUGCGGGAUAACGGCUUUCUUGUUGUAGACUCCUUUAACCUACGACGAAGGGUUUUUGACGGUAGUUGGAGAAGAAGCACCGGCUAACUACGUG